rnacentral:rRNA from 1 species
ACCAAGGCGACGAUCAGUAGCCGGACUGAGAGGUUGGCCGGCCACAUUGGGACUGAGACACGGCCCAGACUCCUACGGGAGGCAGCAGUGGGGAAUAUUGGGCAAUGGGCGCAAGCCUGACCCAGCAACGCCGCGUGAAGGAAGAAGGUCCUCGGGUUGUAAACUUCUUUUGUCAGGGACGAAGCAAGUGACGGUACCUGACUAAGAAGCACCGGCUAAAUAC